GCCUACUUAGCUCAAUGGCAGAACACUAUACUCGUAAACCAGAGGUCGCGAGUUCAAACCUCACAGGAAGCA